CUCCGGCGGAUCUAUGUACACAGGGCCGCCCCGCCCCACGCCUCGGCCCCACCCGGGCUCCGCCGGGAUCCGCCCUGGGCGGUUCCGCUGGGUCCCGCGCUCGCCCCACGCGCGUUAGCAUUAGGGCGAGUUCUCCCGGGCCGCAGGGCUGACGCAGGCCCGGGUUGGCCCUCGGUGGGACGGCCGCCCUGAGCGAGGAGCCGACUGCGGCCUCCGCGACCCCUCCCGCAGCUCCGCCCACCUCCCCACCCUACGGGUCCCCGGGGGAGAGCGGAGCAGCUGGCCAAUGAGGGUGCGGGCAGUUCGAAAGGCCGAGGUGCUGCGCCUCUCCCAGGACCUUAUGCUCCGCACGAAACCUGGCAGCCUACGCUUAAUGCGAUUUCCCGGCUGUCUUCCGACAGCCAAGAGCAUGCAAAGCGGCUGUCAACAUGCAGACCAGCUCUGAACGGCACCAAGUAGGAUCAGAGAAGGCCCAGGCAGUGUGAAGGGACAGGAAAUACACCUGAGGAGUCGCUUUCAGAGAAGUGCCUGAGCCUUUCGGUACAUGGAUCCUCUUCCCAUUUGCGCCUUUGGAAAAAAUACGCAUUCGCCAUUGCUCCGUGCCCGCGGCCUGGAGGUUCCUGGUUUCACCCUCAAGUACUAAACAUACAAACUGGGCCGUAUACUGGAGGCAUGGAGCGCAGCUCUAAUGAAACCAGUCUGUCGAUGGCCGAUGUUGCUCAAACAUCCAGCUUAGUCCUGCCCACCCACCUCCUGGUAGCCGUGGAGACUUCUCCUCCACCUUGUAGUCCCCCAUUGUCCAUUCGUCUGUUCCCUGCUUUGCUCUCAGUAAAUACUUAAACAGAGGCCUUUCAGCGGGAGGGUUAGCCGGGGCGCUGGGGUCUGCAGGUCCCACAGGACCUGCCUGUCCAGCAAACCCAGUGGGUCUGGCCUUCGUGCGCUACUUGAUUUGUGGAGCAGCCUGGAGAAGUCGGAGGAAAAUGAAAUUUAUUUGUAGUCAGUGUGUUAGCUUUCAAUUGCUGUGACAAAGCAUCUAAGAAAAUCAACUUACAAGAGGACAGGUUUAGUUUGGCUCCUGAUUUCAGAGGUUCCAGUGUGUUACGGCUUAGAAGUGUGCACCGUGACUCUCCUGUAUUUGGAAGGUCGGGUUGGUGUUAUGCUUGUCCGUGGAUUCAUCCAUUUGAGGAGUUCAGCAACUGAAUGUGCUGUCAGGAGGUGGGGCCUGGGCCCAGGUGGCCAAGAGGGGCGUGACCUGGAAGGGCGUGUUCUUGUGCACAGCUCUCCCUUCUCUGCCUCCUGCUGCUGUGGGGUGAGCACCUUUCCUCUGCCAGGGCCUUCGACGGCGCUGUUUGUUUUGGAGCCUACCGACCAUGGCCGGAAACUGUAGGGCGAAAUAAACCUUUGCUUCUAUAAAUUGUGGGUGUGUGGCGUUGUGUAUCAGUGACAGGAAAGUAACCAAGACAGUUCAGGGUUGGCUGGCUCUGUUUGAGGGGCAGCGCAUCACGGCGGGGAACGUGGAGGAACAAAGCUGUUCCCCUCCCUGCGACCGGGAAACAACUGGGGGCAGCGUCCCAGUAUUCCCUUCCGGGUCACACCUGACUUCCGGGGUUUAACUUCCUGCCAUUUGGCCCCACUUUCUGAAGGUUCCGCGACCCACCCAGCUUGGCGACCAAACCUUCAACGUAGGAGCCUUUGAGCCUUUGAGGGAGAGAGGAUUCAAGUCCUGCCAGUCAGCAAACAGGAAUAAAGGGGAAGCAGGAAAGACGAGAGGUGCUGGCGCAGGUCGGCGUUCACAGCAGCUGAGGCCUGUUUGGCCAAGCUCCAUAAUAACCCAGAGAAGACACCCAAAUAAUCUGGAGAGCUGUGUUUUUCUCUGUCAGUUUAGGACUGACCGCUUGGCCAAGGAAACAGGUGGAGGAAGCAGGCCAGGGAAGGCUCUGCCAGCCCGACGAAGCAGAUAGGGCCGAGUCUGAAACCCAGGCCGAGCUGAAGUUGCAGUUAGUGUGGAAAUGAAGAUCUUUCAGAAGAGAGGACGUUCCCAGAGCUUGUUCUCUGUUGUCUCGCCGUCUCUUGGCUCCACCCAGACAGCCCCUUGGCUCGCAGACUGUGGCUCCCCAGCGGGACGGCGGGCAGCCUCCCUAACCUUCUCCUGUAAGGCAGAGAGAAGAGGACGACAUGCUCCCCUCGGAACCCACACGCCGCAGCAGAGUUUGCUGCAGACCCCCAAAGCCAAAUCGCGGGGAGUCCUCGAUGGCAUUUCCGGGAGCUGCCACCACCUACCUAAAAAGCUGGUCUCUCUGCAAAGGCUGGAGAGCCGGAGCUAAAGUCAGAGGACUCAAGCUUGUCUACCUGUUGGGGUCAUAAAGAAGAGCCUGGCACACAGCAUGAACAUAAUAAACACUUGCUGCACACGGACAAAUGGAUGAAGCCCUGCCAUUCGCCUCACGUCGUGGGAGGGGGCCAGCAUCUUCUGGUAGGACAGGAAGGCAUGGGAGCAGGAAGGCUGUUGAAGGAGAGCAAAGAUCCAUGGAAGGUGCUGGGUGAGGGUGCCCUGCCCGUCUCCUGGUCUCCCGCUGUCGCUCCUCCAUUCCUACUGGCAGCUCCCACAGGAUGCCCCCUGUAGGCGCAGGAACAAACUGCAAUGUAUCAGCAUGGGAAGCACAACUCCCACUGUUGGGACUGGUAGGAAAUGGCCUUGUCUCAAGUAACCAGAAGCCAAGAGAAAGCACAGGCAGGGCUUUGCAGAGCUGGAAGGGCAGGAGGGGGACAGGAAGGAGCCCUGGCCAGGCCAGCAUGGCCACGUAGAAAAUGGAAUCAAUUCCCAGAAUGCCAACCCAGAACCAGAAUCCCCAGGACUUCCCCAGCAGUUUAUGAAGUCAGGGAUUCUCAUCCCCAAAAAGUGGCUGUCUGGGAGCUGAAGUGAGACAGACCUGGGUGAGUUCCUAGUCCACCUUUGUUGUCUGUGAACAUGGAGAAUGAGGGUUCUUGCAAGGAUCAAAGCAAUGAUGCUCUUGAAGAGCUCGGUGUGCAGGUGCUUGGGGAACCCCAGUUGAAAUUUGUUUUCACACUCAGAAGCUGGAAUGGUGUUUGGCAGAGCCACUGAGAAAGUAAGAAGGACAGGAGUGGGGGAACCCCAGGUCCAUCUCCACCUGGUUAUGUGAGCACAAGGUCACCCCACCUCUCACAACCACUGUCUCCUUGGAGUAAAAGGGCUUGGACUUGAUGCACCCUAACAGUGCUCUUCACCUCCAGGGCCUUGCGAUUUGUGACCCUGAACAGAUCAUUUUUCACUGGGCUCUGUUAGAGGAGGGAAAUAUGAGACAAGGACUUAACCGGAUGUCACAAAGCGGGUUCUCGGAGGUUUUCUUCACAGACUUGGAAGAUGUCCCUGUGCCCUCUGUCUUAAUUGCUUUCUCGUUGCUGAGACACAAUAUCUGAUGCCUGAAAAUUAAAUGCAGAAGUUUAUUCUGGCCCUCAGUUGGUAGAGAUUUUAGUCCAUAGUCCACUGGCCCCAAGGCAGAGGGGUGUGGCAGAGGAGGAACAGUCCAUGGCAUCGUAGCAGGAAGCAGAGAGAGAUCAAGGGAGGAGGAGGGAGGCAGACUUCCAAGCCACACCUCCAGUGACCCACACCUCCAACCAGGCUUCAUCUUCCAACAUCACAUUUGUCUAUAAACUCACCAGUGCACCAAUCCACGGAUGAGUGUCAGAACCCCAUUAUCCAGUCACUUCUCAAAAGCCCCACCUAUGAGCACAUGAGGCUUUGAGGGGGCAUCUAGUUAUAAACCAUAACACCCUUAAGUCUCUGCUAAUAUCCUGUCGUUGUCACCCCACAUGUAAGACCUAUGAAAUGCAGGGACAGCCUCACACCAUGGCAAACUAGUCAGUGACUCCUAAGCCUGGCUGUUAUGAUUUGGAUCUUAAAUGUCCCCUGAAGGCUCCAGUGUUGGAAGUUUGGGCCCAGCUUAUGGAGCUACUGGGAGGUGGUAGAACCCAUAGGAGGUGGGACCUAGUGGAAGGAUGCCACUGAAAUGUGAUCAUGAAGGGACAUUGGGGCCCCACCCCUCCCCUCACUGCUUCCCAGCCACCAUGAGGUGAGCAGCUGUACCCCACCACGUGCCACUCACCAUGAUGCUCUGCCUCACUCCAGCCCUAAAACAACAGGGCCAAGUGACCAUGGACUGAAACCUCUGAAACCAUGACCCACACUGAACCUUUCCUCCUUUUAAGGUGAUUGUUUCAGGGAUUUUGUCACAGUGAUGGAAAGCUGACUAACACAGGUUGUGCUCAGGUCCCUGGAUGCUGAAAGUACAGACUCUCAGACCUACCUCUUGCUGUUGAUUUAGAAUCUCUGCAGGUGAGCUCAGGAGGCAGGGUUUUUAUCAGUCAUCCCAGGAAAUACUGACAGCUAUAUGAGGACACGUAUUUGGGACAGACGGGAGAAGGUCAUUGCUUACUGUGUAGGUUGGUGGUGACAGGAAGUAUGCGCUCCUGAAUGUCUUAGUGGCAUGUUGGAAAUCACCUCUGUAGGGGCAUCUGCAACUGGAAGUGUCCUCAGCUCAUACCUGUCUGGGUCAGGCUCGGAGAAUUUACUUCUAGGCACUUCCCUGGUCCCAGCCAGAGGAGCAGCAGUGUGGACAACUGACACCCUGUAGGUCAAGAGGAAGAGAAGAAAGGCAAGGAGGGGCUGCAUCAUCUGCUUGAGCGCCAGAGUUAGGCGCUUAAUCAGCAGGCAUUCAUUGUUUCCAUUUCUGGAAGCUGGAAGUCCAGGGUCCUGGUGUCAGCAGGCUUGGUCUUUCUGAAACCUCCCCUUGGCUUGCGGAUGGGCCCUGCCCUGGGGGAGCCGGUGCUGUGUCCAACCAUGAGCCACGCUCCAGUCCCCUUCUGUGAGCACCAGGAGCCUGGGAAGGAAGGAAGGAAGGAAGGUUCUGGCUGACUGUGGAGAAACCAGAGCCCGGAAGUGAGUGGUGGUGGCCACACACACCAAGGGCCAGCACCAUGUUCCCGGCAGGGGGCCGUUCAGAGCCAGGGGCUGUGGUGGUCAGUGACCCCCUUGGCCCUCUGCUGCUGUACUCUGACUUGGGACAUCCUAAGGGAGCCU